rnacentral:rRNA from 1 species
CGCGUAGGCGGUUUCGUUAGUUAGGUGUGAAAUUCCUGGGCUUAACCUGGGGGCUGCACUUAAUACAGCGAGACUUGAGUUCGGAAGAGGGUUGUGGAAUUGCCAGUGUAGAGGUGAAAUUCGUAGAUAUUGGCAAGAACACCGGUGGCGAAGGCGGCAACCUGGUCCGAUACUGACGCUGAGGCGCGAAAGCGUGGGGAGCAAACA